rnacentral:lncRNA from 1 species
AUGUUCCUUUCCUCUGUCAUGGAGAAAGUAUCAGCUGUUGAAACAAAAGCUCUCCUCAGUGGCCCAGCUUGUGCUGCAAAGCUUCUCCAACCUCCUAUUCCAUGUCCCACUACCUCCACUAGGUCGCCGACACCCCUAAACCUCAGUUUUGUGAAACCACCAUCCACCAGCCAGUGCCCCAUUACUACCACUAGGCCCCCUGUACUACUUACCUCCACUGUCAAGGACCCACCACCUUCCACUCUGCAACCUGGUGCAGUGUGUGGAAACCCUUCAGCAUCCAUUCAACCUUCAUUCCCUUCCUUCCAGUCAGACAGGCAUGAAUCUCAAGAAAUAACACAUACAAUGACACUAUUUCUACUGGACCUUACAAAAACUCAUCAGCACCUUUAUUUUCGGAACAAAAUGGCAUUCUAUAAAAAAUACAAAACUUAUUCUCACUAA